AGAAAGACACCAAAAUUCAUCUUCUGCCAAAGAAAAAAAAAAAGAAUGAUAAAUGAUCGCCUAAAACUUCAACAAAGUGCAAAUAAUGUCAUCACAAUCACAUAUGUGAAACCUUUGAAUGCCAGUAACUGAUAAACAUUAAUCCAUCUUUCUAAAAUGCAUGAAACCUUCCACAACAUCAACUAAUCACUCUUCAACAUGAUAUGCUGCCAAACAACCAAGAUAUUUUUACCUCUGUUUUAAUGAAAACGUUUGAAUGCAUACCAAAAUAGGUAUUGUCAAACUAGAUAUCCAAAGCUCUAGUUUUACUUGCCCCUAAAAUAAUUAAAUGAUUAAAAAGCAAUGAUGGAGAUUAUAGAUAACUAAAGACAAUGUUAACUAAAUAAGCUGAUGAUGAAAAAAAUCAGGAGGGAGCUAGAUUAGACAAUGGUACACAACAAAGGCAAGAGGCAAU
rnacentral:misc_RNA from 1 species